rnacentral:lncRNA from 1 species
UGUGACCGAGUCAGGGAUGGUAUCAGAGCAGCUUCAACCCACACUUGAUCGAAAGGAGGAGGCGCCGUAAACACAGUUGAGGGAAUUGAGCACCGGUAAGUACCGUGCGUGUCCCCCGGGGCAUUCACUAUUCCUAUUUUAAGGGUUUAGUCUAUCCCCGAGUGUUUUCCGCCUUCUUUUAGCCUCAGUGAACCAAGUUCAGUGAUCCAAUCGCGUGUCCCCUGGGGCAUUCACUAUUCAUAUUUUAAGGGUUUAGUCUAUCCCCGAGUGUUUUUCGCCUUCUUUUAGCUCCAGUGAACCAAGUUCAGUGAUCCAAUCAGCCUGAAUCGGACAAAAGAAACUCUAACUCGAAGGAUGGGAUCUAAACUUUCUCGAAAGCUUGCUAAAAGUGAUUCCCUCGAGAGAGCUUGCAAGCCCA